rnacentral:rRNA from 1 species
GACAAACGCUGGCGGCGUGCCUAAUACAUGCAAGUCGAACGACGAAAGCCUUCGGGCAAGUAAGAGUGGCGCACGGGCGAGGAACACGUAGAUAAUCUGCCCUUCAGUGGGGAAUAACUCUCCGAAAGGAGUGCUAAUACCGCAUAAGACCACAAGCUCUGCGGAGCAAGGGGUUAAAGGAUUUAUUCGCUGAAGGAUGAGUCUGCGUCCGAUUAGCUAGUUGGUGAGGUAAUGGCUCACCAAGGCAAUGAUCGGUAGAUGGUCUGAGAGGAUUAUCAUCCGCACUGGAACUGAGACACGGUCCAGACUCCUACGGGAGGGAGCAGGAGGGAAUAUUGCAAAAUGGGGGAAACCCUGAUGCAGCAACGCCGCGUGAGUGAUGAAGGCUCUAGGGUCGUAAAGCUCUGUCGUAUGGGAAGAAAAAAAUGACGGUACCAUACAAGAAAGGACCGGCCAACUUCGUGCCAGCCGCCGCAGUAA